GUAUAGAAGUCAGGGUUAGAUCGGUCUCUCAGUGGAGGCGCGGGCAAUCCGUCGUAUUGAAUGAAAGAGUAUUCUUUUGUUGUUUAUUUCAGAGAAAUCUGUAUUUUACUCAGUACGAUAGUGGAUUUGACAUUAAUUAAUACGGCCAUUAAUACAAAAUUAGAAGUUGUCAAGUAUGAAGGCAUCAUGUUUACGAAAGUGCUGACUAAGGAACUUAUAGGAUCCAAGGGGUGGUGGAAGGGGUGCUCUCUAGUAGCAGCCAAAAAAGUUACUAACCAAGUGAAAUCCUUAAGAAAAGAGAUUGAAGUGGCAGAACUCUGAGACUUCCAGGGACUUCCUUGACCAUUCAAUAAAUAGGUGGUAAUAAUCAAUUUCCAGGUAUUGACUUAUUCGUAGACUACCAACUCAAUUGUGUAUUUUUCUCUUACAACUGAGGCGAAGUUUAAGGGCUAUGUUUGUAUUGUAUGUCUUCAUUACAAGUUGUAGUAAAGUUUUGGCGCUGCACUUUAGCUAAGUCUCCAGAAACCGAGCAACAAUUUCCAAGUUGUAGGAGGGUAAAUGAACGUCUACACUGAGAAAUCACAUUGCCUUUUAAAUGGACAUAAUAUGAUUGAGUAUGUACCAGAUAAUGUGCAUAAAUAAAGUUUAUAUAUAUGACUGACCUAUAAUAAAGCAUGUCGUGACCAACCUUUGGGAAUUGUAGGCCUAGAAUAAUAAUUUUGUAAUGAUUGUGUAUUAAUGUGUAGACUUAAUGGAGAGGUGAGAUAACUCAUUAUUAGUGUUUUAAUGAAACAAACCAAUAAAUAUUGCAAUGAAUUAUGAAAAGAUCAUAGGACUGUUAUAGGAUUUG